UGGCGACGGGUGAGUAACGCGUGGAUAACCUGCCGUAUACAGGGGGAUAACACUUAGAAAUAGGUGCUAAUACCGCAUAAGCGCACGGUUCCGCAUGGAACAGUGUGAAAAACUCCGGUGGUAUACGAUGGAUCCGCGUCUGAUUAGCCAGUUGGCGGGGUAACGGCCCACCAAAGCGACGAUCAGUAGCCGGCCUGAGAGGGUGAACGGCCACAUUGGGACUGAGACACGGCCCAAACUCCUACGGAAGGCAGCAG
rnacentral:rRNA from 1 species